CCCAUGUGUAUCUAUACCAAUCUUAUUGCAGUUGAGUAUGAAUUCACAAGUAUUGAUAAUUUCCAUUACAAUUCAAGCUAUGUUUAAAAAUUACAGGAGAUGCUUCCUUCCGCACAAACAACACAGGUUCAUGCAUAAUGUGUAUAUAAUUAUGAAAGAUAGAUCAUGCAAGACCAUGAUGAAAUAUGGAAGCAUGAUGCUAGUUGAUGGACGAUUCAAAUGAAAAACAAGGAUAUAUGUUUCUUUUAAUGAAAAGUAAAAUAUAAGGAACGACCAUCUCUACGUUCAAGACAACCCUAAAAAGUGAUAGCCUUUUGCCCUGUGAUGCAAAAAGAGCGAAGCCACCACGCAAGAUACAUAUAUCAUUGACAACUUUAGUAUUAAGAGGAAGUUGUAUUGUACGAGAUUCACGGUUGGAUAGCGUGCUAGCCUGUUCACAUUCAAAAUUUACUAUAAGGUGUUGCAAAAGCUUAGCGGUGAUAUCCAUUAAUUUGGCAAUGAACAAGAUUUAAAUGUACCCUUCUAAGAACAUGUUCUCCGCCUACACAAGGCACCUUCCUAGAUUCUUCAUUAAUGUUUCUCCCUUUAUCCAAAUCAAGUUGACCAUGUGACCAUAACCGGGACAUUAUUAACUUAAAAGAAGUAAACACACAAAUAUAUCUAAACUGGAUCUGAUUUGCUGGAUUUCCAAUUAAAUGGUGAACUUUCUAACGAUGCUUCCUAUGAAUCUUGAUAUGUACUUUUUAGAAUCCUAUUAAUAAUUAGAUAUGAGUAGAAAGGAAAAAGCACCUCUCGGUGAUUCAGUCACUGCUUGUAUGCUUUCAUCUGAUGGGUUAUUACAUCACAAUCGAUUAUUCAAAACAAAGUAUGCAACUCCUACAAUUGACUGUAAUGUAACAAUCAGAUGCAACUAAGGAGCAGCUACAAAAGUAAAGUAAUUUUUUAAACACAGUUGGAACUCGAUUUACCUCUGAACAUUACAUAAGCCAUAGUUCUCAUGCAUCUUAUUUCUUAGCUAUUAGAGGAUAAAAUAAAAUUGUGUACGUUCAAGGGAUCAUAAACGACAUACAUCAAAAAACAUCAAAACCUUUCUUCGAGGACAGGCUAAAGGAACGUCAGUAUAGCAUACAAUCUACAAACUACAAUUACCUGUAUAGUGGGAUGUUAAAAAUGAACAGAACUACAUACAUAUAAAGGUGCUUCCUUUUCAUAUGCUGCUUAGCUCACACGAAAAGCUAAACACUUUUUUCUCGACUUGAGAUUCUUGACAAAAGUAAGGUUCAGUCAGUGUAUGUGAGGACAUCUGAUAUGUGCAACAAAGUAUAUACUUUUGCAUGUACCUAAGAUGGUAUUGCUCAAAGCGGAGGAAGACCCUCUGAUCUCCUCUAUAUAUCAUUACUUCGACACCUAAACGUUGCCCUUAUUUUUCUCGAAAGAAUUUUUACAUAUGAAAUCAAUAUAUGUAAAGAAAACUGGAAUAAGAACCAAACAUCCACAUGAAGGAAGCACUUGUUUAUUUCUAGCUAUCUCUGUACCCAAAAUGAUCAAACAUGUAUUUAUUUAUAGCAAAGUUGAAUAAAAAACAACCGUAGGUGCAAGAAAGCACUUACAAAUAUCUUAGCUUACUCCUAGCUAGCUUUCUGCCCAAAAGAAAAAAAUCAUAUCUAUAUGACUAUAUCUGGAGCAUACCUCAAUUAAUUGAAUCCAUCUUAGGCAAAAGCAGCACCAUGGACGCAGCCAACCUACAGUGUCUCCUAUCUCCUUUAGCAAACAAAUCAAGCAUUAAAAGCGAAGCAAAUGCAAAAGGAACCCAAACAUGGCCAAAACAACACAAGAACUAUGUUGUUGGCUAGAACCUAAAAACGAACAGAAGACUUCGCUGCCCUACCUAAUUUCUACUUUGAUGUUGUUAUUACUAAAAUGACCAUAUGUUUCAGGUCAGACAAGAUACCAGGCAGCAACUAUUAGUAGAACAUGUAGUACAUAGUCGUAUAGGCUGAAUGUUUACAGCUGAAAAUAGCACUUUGUAAUAGAUAUUUACAAGUAAAACAAAGUGGCAACUGUUGCUAGAGCGGUCUGCACUGGCUAAGGUUGACGUUCCAGAUACAUUCUUCCAUCCGAGUGCUCUGCUAUUUUCUUCAAAGCAGAGGAAGAAGAUUUGGCAUAUGUGCUCGACCAUGUGGUGUCAUUAAUCAUUGAAAUUUUUAAAUGGUAUUACCUGUCAUUCUGAGACACCAACAUCUAUUAACUUAUGAUUCUGCAAGGCACACACAUAAGUAAAUGUAAGCACAAGUUUCUCACAAGUAUGUCAAGGGCCAUUGCUACGUUAACAGAAAAGAACAGAAAGAAAUACAAUGGAAGAGGAAGCACCAGGGACCAUACCUCAGGCUCGAAGUACAAGAAGGGGAGGCCGGAGCAGCAUGAACUGGGGUAGUACGGAUGAAGGACGACGGGCUGGAGAGCAUGACGUGACCAGGGGCGGAGGAGCACGCACAGGAGGAGGACGACCAGGAGGGGCCGGCGGCGCCAAACCUAUCUCGCUGCACGCCCAUCUCGGCAGUUCAAGAGAGGUGCAAGGAGAUGUUGCAGCCCAGGGAGAAAGCAUGGAGGGAGCGGCGACAUUUGGGCGGCGCUAGGGAUGCGGCGGAGGGCGGAUCAGAUCUACGGACCAUGGUACUUGACGACGGCGGAGGAGGUAGCUCGGCGACAGCGGUGGUCCAGGAGGAAGGUUGGUGCGAUGGGUGGUCGAGGGAUGCUGGCGUCGGGCGGCGGAGGGCGGUCGGUGGCGGCUAGGGUCAAAGUAGAAGGGAUUUGGGCUAGAUCUGGUCGGGACAACGGUAGUAGGGUCGUAACAGAAGGCAUUUUGGGCUUUCUAGCGCGCGCUUUCGUGGUAGCGCGCUGUUGGGCCCAAUUAUUUCGUUUUCACACCAUGAACAGUUCCUGGCAGAUAAUGGGCCCAGAUUUAGUUCUCCCGGUAGAUAAAAUGACAUAAAUGAUGGAUAUGAACGCCGACAGUAAAUAUGUCCUUGUUGCUCAAUUUCUACCGGCAGUUUUUCUACCUGGAAGGACUUGUGCCGGUGGUUAAAUGAUCCCUGGCAGUUUGUUUGCCUUUAUAUUUGUAUUUCUCCCGGCAGUUAACUACCCCUAAUCAAGUGUUGUGGUGUAGUGGCGGCCUGGGUAUGGAUAUCGGUGGUUCUCACUUGUCACAGAUGGGCUCGUUCCCGUGGGAAGAGCAUGGACCCUGGAUGCGCUCCAUGUUGUCACAGAUGGGCUCCUUCCCCUUGGAAGAGCACGGCCGUAGGGUGCCCUCCCUAAUGUCGCAGACGGGCCCUUUCCCCUUGGAAGAGCAGAUGGGCUCUUUCCCCUUGGAAGAGCCGGAGAGGGUGCCCUCCUCGUGGUAGCCGUCGAUGAGGUCUGAAUUGGAAGCUGUGGAUCCCAAGCCAGCGUCACAUAACGUGUCCUUCCGAAAUGACAAAAGGGGCUCGAUGGCGAUGUAGAAUGGCAAAUUGUUGAGAGCGAGCCAGAGGAGAUCAGCGGCGGGGCCAUGGAUGAGAUUGGCGGCGGUUGAACACGAGGGGUUGGGGGAGGGCCACUUAACCUAUGACACAACUCGCCUCAGGGCGUCGCUGUCAAUGACCUCAAUGUCGUAGAUGGUCGACGAGACAUGCCCGCAUACUCUAGCCCUCUGCUUGAGUGCCUGCCGCCAGUAAGGGUCGUCAGCUCCCUCAGUGAUGUCAGGCGAAGAGACCGCUAUACACCUCUUUUGGGCUAGUCGCUCCUCGAGCUCCACGGGAAGCGUAGCCGGGCUUAGGCUGCGAUGCUCUAGAGUGGGGGAUGGGGAUGGGAUGUGGAUCUGUGGGAAAGGGGGUGUUUGGCAUGCAUCAUCUAAGAAACUCAAGAUGCACUACACCACACCACUAUUGCAAAGACAGGUAAUCUGCCGGGAGAAAGCCAUUAAGAGGGCAGACAAACUGCCGGGAGAGUGUUUUUACCGGCAGAUAGAACCGCCACUAGAACGGCUGCCGGGGAUUACUUGUCCUGGCAGAUAAACUAUUCCCGGAAGUUUCUUUGCCCCGACCUAUAUAUCUGCCGGCAGAUCAUUUUGUCCUGGCAGACUUGUCAUAGCACGGGAUCUAUAAUUGUGGGCAGUGAAACUGCCGGCACAAACUAGUCUUCCCGGUAGUUAGUAUGCCAUCAUGUUGUUUUCACUAGAAAACUAGUAUACAUAUCUCUAAUUUAAUAUCCACACUGCGUUAGGCAAUCAAAACAGAUCACAACUUAUACAUAUAGCUUCAAUCGAAGUUACAUAUAGGCCUCAUUCAAAACCUUGAACUUCACAAAUAUUUUUAGACUGAAAAAACCAAUACUUCAACAUCCAUACAUGCGUUCGGUAGCAACCAGCUACAGCGGUAAACAAACUUUACAUAAGCUGAUAAGAUUUCGAGUCUUCAAACUAUGGUACACACAUGGUUUAAGCUCAGCACGUGGUUGCAACCAUCCUGUGAAAUUGUAUUAUUCGAAGAUGGCCACAUGUCUCCAGCAGAAGAGUCAUGAGCUUGCAAUGCUUUGAAGGUAUUACUGUAAAAAGAACCAUUACGUAGACAUCCAAGUUGACUGGUACAACUACUAUCAUGUAGAAACAUCUUCGAGUGACGAUACCAACCUGAAUAGAUAAGAUAGUACAACUGCUAUGAGCAAAUAACUUUGGUUAAUGAGCUAUAUUGGAGCACAUAAAAAAUGGACAUAGGCUCAGACAGCAAAUAGAUAAUUUCAUAAUAAUAAUUUUGCAAACAAAAAAGCAAACCAUAGUGACAUUUUCAAAGAAAGUAGCAUACAACUACAUAUGGCAGCUGACAUGUUUUCAAACUUCCCAUGUGUAUCUAUACCAAUCUUAUUAUAGUUGAGUAUGAAUUCACAAGUAUUGAUACUUUCCAUUACAAUUCAAGCUAUGUUUAAACAUUACAGGAGAUGCUUCCUUCCGCACAAACAACACAGGUUCAUGCAUAAUGUGUAUAUAAUUAUGAAAGAUAGAUCAUGCAAGACCAUGAAGAAAUCUGGAAGCAUGAUGCUAGUUGAUGGACGAAUCAAAUGAAAAACAAGGAUAUGUGUUUCUUUUAAAGAAAAGUAAAAUAUAAGGAACCACCAUCUCUAUGUUCAAGACAACCCUAAAAAGUGAUAGCCUUUUGCCCUGUGAUGCUAAAAGAGCGGAACCACCAGGCAAGAUACAUAUAUCAUUGACAACUUUAGUAUCAAGAGGAAGUCGUAUUGUACGAGAUUCACGGUUGGAUAGCGUGCUAGCCUGUUCACAUUCAAAAUUUACUAUAAGGUGUUGCAAAAGCUUAGCGGUGAUAUCCAUUAAUUUGGCAAUGAACAAGAUUUAAAUGUACCCUUCUAAGAACAUGUUCUCCGCCUACACAAGGCACCUUCCUAGAUUCUUCAUUAAUGUUUCUCCCUUUAUCCAAAUCAAGUUGACCAUGUGACCAUAACCGGGACAUAAUUAACUUAAAAGAAGUAAACACACAAAUAUAUCUAAACUGGAUCUGAUUUGCUGGAUUUCCAAUUAAAUGGUGAACUUUCUAACGAUGCUUCCUAUGAAUCUUGAUAUGUACUUUUUAGAAUCCUAUUAAUAAUUAGAUAUGAGUAGAAAGGAAAAAGCACCUCUCGGUGAUUCAGUCACUGCUUGUAUGCUUUCAUCUGAUGGGUUAUUACAUCACGAUCGAUUAGUCAAAACAAAGUAUGCAACUCCUACAACUGACUGUAAUGUAACAAUCAGAUGCAACUAAGGAGCAGCUACAAAAGUAAAGUAAUUUUUUAAACACAGUUGGAACUCGAUUUACCUCUGAACAUUACAUAAGCCAUAGUUCUCAUGCAUCUUAUUUCUUAGCUAUUAGAGGAGAAAAUAAAAUUGUGUACGUUCAAGGGAUCAUAAACGACAUACAUCAAAAGACAUCAAAACCUUUCUUCGAGGACAGCCUAAAGGCACGUCAGUAUAGCAUACAAUCUACAAACUACAAUUACCUAUAUAGUGGGAUGUUAAGAAUGAACAAAACUACAUACAUAUAAAGGUGCUUCCUUUUCAUAUGCUGCUUAGCUCACACGGAAAGCUAAACACUUUUUUCUCGGCGUGAGGUUCUCGACAAAAGUAAGGUUCAGUCCAUGUAUGUGAGGACAUCUGAUAUGUGCAACAAAGUAUAUACUUUGGCAUGUACCUAAGAUGGUAUUUCUCAAAGCAUAGGAAGACCCUCUGAUCUCCUGUGUAUAUCAUUACUUUGACACCUAAACGUUGGCCUUAUU
rnacentral:lncRNA from 1 species